rnacentral:rRNA from 1 species
GACGAACGCUGGCGGCGUGCUUAACACAUGCAAGUCGAACGGAAAGGCCCUGCUUUUGUGGGGUGCUCGAGUGGCGAACGGGUGAGUAACACGUGAGUAACCUGCCCUUGACUUUGGGAUAACUUCAGGAAACUGGGGCUAAUACCGGAUAGGAGCUCCUGCUGCAUGGUGGGGGUUGGAAAGUUUCGGCGGUUGGGGAUGGACUCGCGGCUUAUCAGCUUGUUGGUGGGGUAGUGGCUUACCAAGGCUUUGACGGGUAGCCGGCCUGAGAGGGUGACCGGCCACAUUGGGACUGAGAUACGGCCCAGACUCCUACGGGAGGCAGCAGUGGGGAAUAUUGCACAAUGGGCGGAAGCCUGAGGCAGCAACGCCGCGUGCGGGAUGACGGCCUUCGGGUGGUAAACCGCUUUCGCCUGUGACGAAGCGUGAGUGACGGUAAUGGGGAAAGAAGCACCGGCGAACUACGU